UGAGAGCGGCGGACGGGUGAGUAAUGCCUAGGAAUCUGCCUGGUAGUGGGGGAUAACGUUCGGAAACGGACGCUAAUACCGCAUACGUCCUACGGGAGAAAGCAGGGGACCUUCGGGCCUUGCGCUAUCAGAUGAGCCUAGGUCGGAUUAGCUAGUUGGUGGGGUAAUGGCUCACCAAGGCGACGAUCCGUAACUGGUCUGAGAGGAUGAUCAGUCACACUGGAACUGAGACACGGUCCAGACUCCUACGGGAGGCAGCAGUGGGGAAUAUUGGACAAUGGGCGAAAGCCUGAUCCAGCCAUACCGCGUGUGUGAAGAAGGUCUUCGGAUUGUAAAGCACUUUAAGUUGGGAGGAAGGGUUGUAGAUUAAUACUNUGCAAUUUUGACGUUACCGACAG
rnacentral:rRNA from 1 species